AUGGCGAAGGCAGAUCUCUGGGCCGUAACUGACGCUGAGGAGCGAAAGGGUGGGGAGCAAACAGGCUUAGAUACCCUGGUAGUCCACCCCGUAAACGUUGGGAACUAGUUGUGGGGUCCUUUCCACGGAUUCCGUGACGCAGCUAACGCAUUAAGUUCCCCGCCUGGGGAGUACGGCCGCAAGGCUAAAACUCAAAGGAAUUGACGGGGACCCGCACAAGCGGCGGAGCAUGCGGAUUAAUUCGAUGCAACGCGAAGAACCUUACCAAGGCUUGACAUACACGAGAACACCCUAGAAAUAGGGGACUCUUUGGACACUCGUGAACAGGUGGUGCAUGGUUGUCGUCAGCUCGUGUCGUGAGAUGUUGGGUUAAGUCCCGCAACGAGCGCAACCCUCGUUCUAUGUUGCCAGCACGUAAUGGUGGGAACUCAUGGGAUACUGCCGGGGUCAACUCGGAGGAAGGUGGGGAUGACGUCAAAUCAUCAUGCCCCUUAUGUCUUGGGCUUCACGCAUGCUACAAUGGCCGGUACAAAGGGCUGCAAUACCGUGAGGUGGAGCGAAUCCCAAAAAGCCGGUCCCAGUUCGGAUUGAGGUCUGCAACUCGACCUCAUGAAGUCGGAGUCGCUAGUAAUCGCAGAUCAGCAACGCUGCGGUGAAUACGUUCCCGGGUCUUGUACACACCGCCCGUCAAGUCAUGAAAGUCGGUAACACCUGAAGCCGGUGGCCCA
rnacentral:rRNA from 1 species